rnacentral:misc_RNA from 1 species
UAACCCUCCAAAGCAAAGCACACAGUACAACUCCUCCAGCCCCAAGCAGGAAGAUAAAAUUCUUCUUCCAAAAGGCAUCAAUUUGCAAACCUACAGCCUCACUGUACCUCGAAAAAGUAGAGGUAACCGCCGUAGCAUCUCAAAAAUAUUUUUUUGCAAAAUUCCCGUUGACCGUUUUCCCAAAAUUCGAAGAACUCUUGAAAGAAAACUGCCUCACCUCAUAGGAACAACUCUGCGAAGCAUGAUGUAAAUUACGUAGCUUGAUAAAAUAGGCGCCAAAUUUUGUUAUCCAGCUGGCAGUAGCUCAUUGUUAGUUCAAGUAGUUUCUAGAAUAGUUUUGUAUAUAAACGCUGGCACGCCAUUAUUUCCAUGAGUGCAAAUGCAGAAAGCAUUUUCUACAAGUCAUUUUUCGUAGCAUUUUCUACAAGUCAUUUUUCGUUCUCUGUUUAACCCUGUUUCACUCUGUUUAGAAAACGGGCGGUAAGUCCUCAAUGAAGAUGAAAAGUUGGGUUUUCCCCGCGAGAGAACCUGAGAUAAUCCCCCAUUUGAAGAAAUGGGAUUUGAAAUAAAAGAUGGGAAAGAAGUAGAAUUGGAGAACCCAUUCGAGUACGGUCUUGUAAGUGAGCUGCCAAUUCUAGAGGCGAGAGAAGAAGUGCUUGGAGACAAGUGUUUUGAGUUAGAGACAUGAUUUGGCGGUGGUGAAAUCUGAGUAGUCCAUGGAUGAUUCUUGGGGAA